UUCACCACAGGCUCAGACAUCUGUGGGGGGAGCUCUGGGCAGGAACUCUGGCUCUAUGGGAACCCUGAGAAAAUCAGACUGAAAUCCUGCCCAGGGAAAGCUGCAGUUGUCCAAGGAGAGCUUCAUUUCAAUACAUGUGCGUGUGAAGUGUCUUCCUACUGCAAAACUGAAGAAAGAACAUUCUGGAAGGUCAUUGCCAAGGAGCAAUAGAAAACUAACCAAGACAAUUGCCAACUACUACAAGAAGUGUUUAAAGAUGUACUAAUCUAUGAAUAUAAUGCAAAAAGAUCUAACCAUUAAAUUCUGGAGGACAAUUAAGAAUAUUGGCAAUAAUUUGUAAUAUUUGGAAGUCUGUGGGACUCCACUAUACAAUAAAUGUAACCCAUUCCAGGCACUGGGCUUUUUAUUUGUAACUCUGUGGUUGCCAUUUCAUUAUAGGCUCAGUGCCAGUUUUAUACAAGAUGAUGUUGUAAUCGCCAACUGCAACUAACUAGUGAUCCCAGGAAUCUGUUAGCCUCCAAUAUUAGAAAACUACAAAAGAAGUUGCUUUGAUAUACCAUUUUUAAUUGUUGUUCUCUUUUCUUGGGUUUUUCUUUACCCCCAUUUGCUAUGUUUUUACUCUUAUUUGUUUUUCAAAACACCUUAUAGGGCUUUUUUGUGGUGAUGGGUGUUGAACUCGGGUUUAUGUGCUUGCUAGGCAGUACUACACUGAGUUAACUCCCUAGCU